CUCUUGCUGGCAAAAGUUGUCAUAGAUGCAGCCAAAAAACAAGGCACAAAAGUGGUGGAAGCCGAGGAAAAAAUUAAAACCUGGCUGAAGUACAGUGGAGACCGAAAUGGAGGAAGAAAAAAAAGAGCAACAGAAAAAGAAAAGCAGAUGCCUCCCCCCUCAUGCAGAUUCCAGCAGCUGCGAAAGUGAAUGAAAAGAUGCUGCUACUUCUCCUCCUCUGCUCCGUCUUCAUCAUAAGAGCCACACACAAUCUAAUUUGCUUCAAAUCUGCAAAAAACUGCAGAAUACAGAAGAGAAUCUGCACAUUUUCUUAGUUUUCAGCUGGGAUUUUUUGGCCUUCUUCCGCAUUUUCUUUGCCGCCUUUUUGGUUUCCUUGUUGUUGAUUUCUUUGACUUUAUUUUUUACUUAUCUUAGCAUUUUUCCACUGACUGCCUUUGUGUUGUUGUUUUUUUCAACUAUUUUGUCAAUCGGCUCACAUCCUGUGUUAUUUAUUUAUUAUGUGCUCAAGUUUUUCCAACAACAGCACCACAAGACGUGAACUGCAUUAAAUUGUAAUGUUAAUUUUGUUACCAAUAAAUAGGUUUAUUUUUAUAACCAA